rnacentral:rRNA from 1 species
UACAGAGGUCUCAAGCGUUGUUCGGAUUCAUUGGGCGUAAAGGGCGCGUAGGCGGCGGGGUAAGUCGGGUGUGAAAUCUCAGAGCUCAACUCUGAAACUGCACUCGAUACUGCUCUGCUUGAGGACUGGAGAGGAGACUGGAAUUCACGGUGUAGCAGUGAAAUGCGUAGAUAUCGAGAGGAACACCUGCGGCGAAGGCGGGUUGCUGGGCUGACACUGACGCUGAUGCGCGAAAGCCAGGGGAGCGAACGGG